AAGUAAAAAAUCUAUAGUAUAGUCAGAUUUUAUUCAUGGCAGAAAGUGUGUGUCUUAUCAUAGUAAAACUAUAUCCCAAGAUAAACUUAAAACUUAUAGUCUAUCGGCCAAUCUCAGACAUCAGAAUCGACAGUAUGGCGUCUGUCUGUUGUAUAGCUUACUAGAGAUAGAAUUUUGUUUCUGUAUGUUGUUAAUGUCAUAAUCCUAUCGCUACUAAGCAAAACAUUAGAUACAUCGAAUAUGGGUAUAGGCCACAUGCGCGUACCUGUGCUCUGAAUUUAGUUGGGAGCCGACAAUUUGGCGGGAAAUGUACCUACUUCAAUACCAUAGAGCAAACAAAAUGACGACACAACUAUAGCUAAGCUAAAUGCUCAUGAUUUAAAAACGUACAAAAUGCUAUAAGGACGAAUACA